rnacentral:rRNA from 1 species
UACGUAGGGGGGCAAGCGUUGUCCGGAUUUAUUGGGCGUAAAGAGCGUGUAGGCGGCUUUGCAAGUCCGUUGUGAAAACUCGAGGCUCAACCUCGAGACGCCGGUGGAAACUGCAAAGCUAGAGUCCGGAAGAGGAGAGUGGAAUUCCUGGUGUAGCGGUGAAAUGCGCAGAUAUCAGGAGGAACACCGGUGGCGAAGGCGGGUCUCUGGGCCGUAACUGACGCUGAGGCACGAAAGCGUGGGGAGCAAACAGG